rnacentral:lncRNA from 1 species
GACCAAAAUGAUCAUAGGACAUCUCAGAGUUCAACUGUCAACUCUAAUCAGGUUGUCCACAUUGUAUUUCAAAAUAUCAAAUCCAUCUGAUGGAUUAUCCUAGCCAAGAUUUUGCUAAAUUGAAAUACAGUGACUCAUUCUUCUCCAACUCUUGGAGUGAUCAAUUCCAUCUCGAUCACACUCUGACUUCGCAAGUACUUGACUAUGCCC